rnacentral:rRNA from 1 species
GAUGAACGCUGGCGGCGUGCUUAACACAUGCAAGUCGAACGGGGAUUAUUUCAUUGAAGCUUCGGCAGAUUUGGCUUAAUCCUAGUGGCGGACGGGUGAGUAACGCGUGGGUAACCUGCCUUGUACAGGGGGAUAACAGUCAGAAAUGACUGCUAAUACCGCAUAAGCGCACAGGACCGCAUGGUCCGGUGUGAAAAACUCCGGUGGUAUAAGAUGGACCCGCGUUGGAUUAGCUAGUUGGCAGGGUAACGGCCUACCAAGGCGACGAUCCAUAGCCGGCCUGAGAGGGUGAACGGCCACAUUGGGACUGAGACACGGCCCAGACUCCUACGGGAGGCAGCAGUGGGGAAUAUUGCACAAUGGGGGAAACCCUGAUGCAGCGACGCCGCGUGAAGGAAGAAGUAUCUCGGUAUGUAAACUUCUAUCAGCAGGGAAGAAAA